rnacentral:rRNA from 1 species
UGAAGCAUGACCGUAAGGACAUGUGGACAGUAUACGAGUGAGAAUGUUGGCAUGAGUAGCGAGACGUGGGUGAGAAUCCCACGGGCCGUAAACCCAAGGUUUCCAGGGGAAGGUUCGUCCGCCCUGGGUUAGUCGGGACCUAAGCCGAGGCCGAAAGGCGUAGGUGAUGGACAACAGGUUGAUAUUCCUGUACCGCCAAUAAGCGCUUGAGAGAUGGAGUGACACAGUAGGAUAAGCUAACCGUACUGUUGGUUAUGUACGGCUAAGCAUUGAGGCAGUCUAAAUAGGCAAAUCCGUUUAGACAAUGCUAGGAUGUGAUGGGGAAGCCCUUCGGGGCGAAGUAGCUGGUUUCACACUGUCAAGAAAAGCUUCUAUCGAGUUUAAAGGCGCCCGUACCGUAAACCGACACAGGGGUGAGGAGAGUAUCCUAAGGCCAGCGAGAGAACUAUUGUUAAGGAACUCGGCAAAAUGACCCCGUAACUUAGGGAGAAGGGGUGCCUGUCUAUGACAGGCCGCAGAGAAUAGGCCCAAGCGACUGUUUACCAAAAACACAGGUUUCUGCUAAGUCGCAAGACGAUGUAUAGGAGCUGACGCCUGCCCGGUGCUGGAAGGUUAAGGGGAUCUGUUAGAGCAAUCGAAGCAGUGAACUUAAGCCCCAGUAAACGGCGGCCGUAACCAUAACGGUCCUAAGGUAGCGAAAUUCCUUGUCGGGUAAGUUCCGACCCGCACGAAAGGCGUAACGAUUUGGGCACUGUCUCAACAAUAGACUCGGUGAAAUUGUAAUCCCGGUGAAGAUGCCGGGUACCUGCGACAGGACGGAAAGACACCAUGGAGCUUUACUGUAGCUUGACGUUGGGUCUUGGUACUACAUGUACAGGAUAGGUGGGAGACUAUGAAGCAUGGACGCCAGUCUGUGUGGAGUCAUCCUUGGGAUACCACCCUUGUAGUACUGGGAUCCUAACCAUAGGCCUUGAAUCAGGUCUUGGAACACCGUCAGGUGGGCAGUUUGACUGGGGCGGUCGCCUCCUAAAAAGUAACGGAGGCGCUCAAAGGUUUCCUCAGCACGGUCGGAAAUCGUGCGAAGAGUGUAAAGGCAAAAGGAAGCUUGAUUGCAAGACAUACAGGUCGAGCAAGGACGAAAGUCGGACUUAGUGAUCCGGUGGUACCGCAUGGAAGGGCCAUCGCUCAACGGAUAAAAGCUACCCUGGGGAUAACAGGCUUAUCUCCCCCAAGAGUCCACAUCGACGGGGAGGUUUGGCACCUCGAUGUCGGCUCAUCACAUCCUGGGGCUGUAGUAGGUCCCAAGGGUUGGGCUGUUCGCCCAUUAAAGUGGUACGCGAGCUGGGUUCAGAACGUCGUGAGACAGUUCGGUCCCUAUCCGUCGCAGGCGUAGGAAAUUUGAGAAGACCUGUCCUUAGUACGAGAGGACCGGGAUGGACGUACCUCUGGUGUACCAGUUGUUCUGCCAAGGGCAUGGCUGGGUAGCUAUGUACGGAAUGGAUAAGCGCUGAAAGCAUCUAAGCGCGAAGCCAACUUCAAGAUAAGAUUUCCCACCGUAAGGGUAAGACCCCAGGAAGACUACCUGGUUGAUAGGUCGAAGGUGUAAGUGCAGUAAUGUAUUUAGCUUAUCGAUACUAAUAGGUCGAGGACUUGACC